rnacentral:rRNA from 1 species
UACGAAGGGUGCAAGCAUUAAUCGGAAUUACUGUGCGUAAAGCGCGCGUAGGAGGUUCAGUAAGUUGGAAGUGAAAUCCCCGGGCUCAACCUGGGAACUGCCUUCAAAACUGCUGAGCUAGAGUACGGUAGAGGGUGGUGGAAUUUCCUGUGUAGCGGUGAAAUGCGUAGAUAUAGGAAGGAACACCAGUGGCGAAGGCGACCACCUGGACUGAUACUGACACUGAGGUGCGAAAGCGUGGGGAGCAAACAGG